GCAGAGGAUAAAAGCCCUGCCUCACCACCCCAAGAAGGGACAAGACUGAGAGGCCAGGCUAGCUUCAGAGUUCUCUGUGAUGUCAACUGAGACUGUGUAGGAACUAUCUCCUCUCUCUCCACAGCCCUCCUCCUUUGUUUUCCAUCUGCAAGCGCGCUCCCAAGUGCCUGCCUUCAGAAACGUCAUGGACAUUAACCUCCCUCUCCAAGUCUGCUUCUCAACCCAGGAAACUAAGAAAUAUUUUUGAAUGAGCGAGUGAAAGAAUGAAUAUGUCGCCUUUGAUAAGCUGGUGCUUUUGUCUGCCUGAACUGGCUGACAGUUUUACUAAAUACAGUACUAAGGAAUGUU